rnacentral:rRNA from 1 species
UACGGAAGGCAGCAGUGGGGAAUAUUGCACAAUGGGCGCAAGCCUGAUGCAGCCAUGCCGCGUGUAUGAAGAAGGCCUUCGGGUUGUAAAGUACUUUCAGUCGUGAGGAAGGUGUUAAGGUUAAUAACCUUAGCAAUUGACGUUAGCGACAGAAGAAGCACCGGCUAACUCCGUGCCAGCAGCCGCGGUAAUACGGAGGGUGCGAGCGUUAAUCGGAAUUACUGGGCGUAAAGGGCACGCAGGCGGUUAAUUAAGUUGGAUGUGAAAUCCCCGGGCUUAACCUGGGAAUGGCAUUCAAGACUGGUUAGCUAGAGUCUUGUAGAGGGGGUAGAAUUCCAUGUGUAGCGGUGAAAUGCGUAGAGAUAUGGAGGAAUACCGGUGGCGAAGGCGGCCCCUGGGACAAAGACUGACGCUCAUGUGCGAAAGCGUGGGGAGCAAAC